CUGGCGGCANGCCUUACAAAUGCAAGCUCGCAGCGGUAGCACAGGNGUAGCUUGCUCCCCGGGCUGACNAGCGGCGGACGGGUGAGUAAUGUCUGGGAAACUGCCUGAUGGAGGGGGAUAACUACUGGAAACGGUAGUCUAAUACCGCAUAANGUCCCAGGACCNAAGANGGGGACCUUCNGGCCUCUUGCCAUCNAAUGUGCCNAGAUGGNAUNAUCUAGUAAGUG
rnacentral:rRNA from 1 species